rnacentral:rRNA from 1 species
AUGCAUCAUGCCCUCCUCCUCACCGACACAGAUUUUCCACUUGCCACCAGUCCAGACAUGAACCGGAAGGGAGGGAGUACGAGGAAGGUUCACAGUCGCCGCACCCUGUAUUCCCAAACUUUCCGUUCCAGCGCGCACGGGGGCCAAGCAGGCGGCACGCACAGAGGGUGUUUGAUGAAAUGCCUCACCGAGCGAGCGGCUUUGUGGGGGUUGCGUUCAACUUGCGCCGCUUCAGUCGGCGUCAGGGUAGCGACAGCAGGACGGACGGAGCAAACCGAUUUCUCACCAAGAAAUACCUCAUCAAUGGAGAGAGCAAGCAAGUGGAGGUCUGUGCUCCCAUCUUCCUUUGUUUUACUACUCCCCUUCCUCAUCAACCUUGUAUGCCCCGGCUGGAAAUUCACGGAUGCAGGAGACACGCUCCUUCCUGGGCAAUCUGUAAAUGCUAGCCAGAUCCUGCUCUCAAACAAUGGUGUCUUCAAGUUGGGUUUCAACCCCAAUUUGCAAUAUUAUUAUCCCCGGUAUUGUGAUUUUGGCACCUGGUUCACUAACUCAUCGUCCCACGAUGAUUAUUCGCUGGUUUGGCAACCUGAUCUGGAAGCGACUUUUGAUUGCAAUUCAUCAUCAGCUACCUUAUCAGAGAACGGCACGCUACAUAUAACCGACAGCUUUGGUUCUGUCCUUUUGAACUUAGAUUACAGGACGACCACUUCUAUCUCUGCCAUUGCAGUGCUUCUUGAUAAUGGGAAUCUUGUAUUAAGAGACCAAGCAAACAGUUCGCAGGUGCUUUGGCAGAGUUUUGACGGCCCAACUGGUAUACUGCUCCCUGGAAUGCGCCUAGGGUCCAAUUCAAUCAUCGGCAAGAGCCAAGAGCAUGAUCCUUUUUUCUUCUCUGUAUGA